AUCCAGCUGACGAGUCCCAAAUAGGACGAAUUAUCGCGCUACAAACUGGAU
rnacentral:hammerhead_ribozyme from 1 species